GGGGAUGUUUGAGGCAGAUUUGUAACCGCCGUUUUGAGGCCAGCUUGCUGGUACCCAAACAGCGUUAGCAUCUUUUGUCUUGGACAUUUGAGUAUGGUUUACGGGCAUUUAUUGGUUCGAUCUGAUUGUAAGUUACGGUCGCAUGCGACACGUGCUUUUCAUUUAGAUCGGUCCAGUUAAUGCUCUCGUACUCGCUCCCCAUGUAAAAGCCGGUCAUCUAUCCGACCCGUCUUGAAACACGGACCAAGGAGUUUAUCGUGUGCGCAAGUUUUUGGGUGUUAAAAACCUAAAAGCGAAAUGAAAGUAAAUGGCUCUUUAGAGUCUGACGUGCGAUCUUGUAAAAAAGGGCAGCAUGGCCCCAUUCUAACUGUUUACAGUAGGGUGGAGGAAGAGCGUACGCGGUGAGACCCGAAAGAUGGUGAACUAUUCCUGAGCAGGACGAAGCCAGAGGAAACUCUGGUGGAAGUCCGAAGCGGUU
rnacentral:rRNA from 1 species